GAUGAACGCUGGCGGCGUGCCUAAUACAUGCAAGUCGAGCGAACAGACGAGGAGCUUGCUCCUCUGACGUUAGCGGCGGACGGGUGAGUAACACGUGGAUAACCUACCUAUAAGACUGGGAUAACUUCGGGAAACCGGAGCUAAUACCGGAUAAUAUAUUGAACCGCAUGGUUCAAUAGUGAAAGACGGUUUUGCUGUCACUUAUAGAUGGAUCCGCGCCGCAUUAGCUAGUUGGUAAGGUAACGGCUUACCAAGGCAACGAUGCGUAGCCGACCUGAGAGGGUGAUCGGCCACACUGGAACUGAGACGCGGUCCAGACUCCUACGGGAGGCAGCAGUAGGGAAUCUUCCGCAAUGGGCGAAAGCCUGACGGAGCAACGCCGCGUGAGUGAUGAAGGUCUUCGGAUCGUAAAACUCUGUUAUUAGGGAAGAACAAAUGUGUAAGUAACUGUGCACGUCUUGACGGUACCUAAUCAGAAAGCCACGGCUAACUACGUG
rnacentral:rRNA from 1 species